rnacentral:rRNA from 1 species
GAUGAACGCUGGCGGCGUGCCUAAUACAUGCAAGUCGAGCGAACAGACGAGGAGCUUGCUCCUCUGACGUUAGCGGCGGACGGGUGAGUAACACGUGGAUAACCUACCUAUAAGACUGGGAUAACUUCGGGAAACCGGAGCUAAUACCGGAUAAUAUAUUGAACCGCAUGGUUCAAUAGUGAAAGACGGUUUUGCUGUCACUUAUAGAUGGAUCCGCGCCGCAUUAGCUAGUUGGUAAGGUAACGGCUUACCAAGGCAACGAUGCGUAGCCGACCUGAGAGGGGGGUAGGCCACACUGCAACUGAGCCACGGUCCAGACCACUACGGGAGGCAGCAGUAGAGAAUCGUCCGCUAUGGACGGAAGCCUGACGGGGCAACGCCGCGUGAGGGAUAAGAGUCCGCGGAUCGGAAUACUCUGUUAUUAGGGAGGAACAAAUGUGUAAGUAACUAGGCACGUCUUGACGGUACCGAAUCAGAAAGCCACGGCUAACUACGUG